GGCCCGCGUCAGCAGCGGCAGCGGUCGUGUGGCGAGCUGAAGGGACCCACAGCACAUUACCAGGAACCCAAGGGAAAGGGAAGGAGAAAGACCGAAUGCUACAAGUCCCUGAGGUGCCAUGAAUUUUCAUUUUACAAGGGGCCCUGUAUAUUAGAUAACCAGUCUCAAAUUCAGCAAAAAGGAAAUAAUUCCAGAAAAUCUGGUAGCUCUUAUGACACAGAACCAAAAGCUGGAUAAUAUUCCAUUUUAUGCAUACCGCAU